CUCAGCUCAAGCAAGGAUACCCGCUGAACUUAAGCAUAUCAAUAAGCGGAGGAAAAGAAACUAACAAGGAUUCCCUCAGUAACGGCGAGUGAAGUGGGAAAAGCUCAAAUUUUAAAUCUGCCUGGUUUCCAGGUCGAGUUGUGAUUUGAAGAAGCGCUUUCCGCGUUUUGGUUUGGUUCAAGUUCUUUGGAACAAGACAUCAUGGAGGGUGAGAAUCCCGUGCAUGAUCAGAUCAAAAUGUUUUAGAUGCGCUUUCUAAGAGUCGAGUUGUUUGGGAAUGCAGCUCAAAAUGGGUGGUAGACUUCACCUAAGGCUAAAUAUUAGCGAGAGACCGAUAGCGAACAAGUACCGUGAGGGAAAGAUGAAAAGAACUUUGAAAAGAGAGUUAAAUAGUACGUGAAAUUGUUGAAAGGGAAACGAUUGAAGUCAGUCGUGCUAGUGAGAAAUCAACUUGGGGGGUUUUGGGUUCGAAAGUUACGGUAGGGUUAAACCACCUUUCUCUUGAACUCUGAGCUUUUCGGGUGUACUUUCUCUUUGGCAGGUCAGCGUCGAUUUUGGGGGUUGUAAAAUAACUGGGGAAAUGUAGCUCCCUUCGGGGAGUGUUAUAGACCCUGGGGGAUGCAGCCCGCGGGAUCGAGGAUUGCAGCAAAUGCUUUUGGCUUGUCGCCUAUCCGCUGGACGUUACCCCGCUUGUGACAACAUUCUUGACACUUUGUGGGACUUGACGGUCACAGGUUAGAGCGUUCUGAAAUUUGCUAAGGAUGCUGACGUAAUGGCUUUAAACGACCCGUCUUGAAACACGGACCAAGGAGUCUAACAUAUGUGCGAGUAGUAUUGGGGAUC
rnacentral:rRNA from 1 species